UUUAUUUUAUUUUUUUGAUUUUUAGGUUUAGGAGGAGCAACUGGUCCUGGAGGAGCAGGAGCUAGGUCUGGUAGCUUUGGGCCUGGAGGGUAUGGUCCAGGUGGAAACUGGAACUGGUGGCAUUGGUCCUGGAGGUGCUGGAAUUGGUGGUUUCGGACCAGGAGGUGCUGGAACUGGUGGCUUCGGACCAGGAGGUGCUGAAACUGGUGGCUUCGGACCAGGAGGUGCUGGAACUGGACAAAAAUCCAGGGCACAAAAAGCAGCCAAAUAUGCAGCCAUGCAAGCUUUACUUGGAUCUGGAGGCUACAGAGGCGGAGGCUGUCAGGGUAACUAUUGUGGCCGGAGGAGGAAGUGAGCAACCAACAGACAGGAAGUGACCUCAUUGAAACAACAGUGGUGCUACAGCAAGAAUACAGAUUGUGAAUGUCCUACCUGCCUUAAAAGCUGAGGCCUCAACACAUUCCAUGUUACUUUUUUAAAUUUAAAGUAGUUGCUUUUACCAUUUUUGUUAUCAAGUUAUUUCCAUCAACACUGUGUGACUUUUAGUGGAUCCAAACUACCAGGCUGAGAACCUGAAAUAAAGAGUGAGCUUUUUUUUAUUAGUAAAGUCUGUUUUGUGAUUGUGUUUUAUUUUUGUAUAAGAAUGACUUUUCUGUGCUGAGACUAAUACCAAAGACUCCCUCAGAGCGGCUCUUUUAGACCAGUCUGCAUGUUGACACGUUUCAGAAUGACGUUUAAGGAGAUAUGAAACAUUUAGCUUUAGUUUCUAAAUCAAAAUACAAACACGUGGCUAAUCUUUGGAGACAGCGGUUAAUUUGGGGAAUAUCCAUGUUGAAUGUGUUGUGACUGUUAUUAUCUGAUCAUGUCUCUGUACUCAGACCUUCUGAUCUGCCGAUGGAUACUUCCACAUACAGUUUUACCAGUUUUACAACACAAAUACGUUCAAGUGUACAAUUUUGGUUAACAUGUGUUUUUUAAAAGAGUGCAUUUGUCUUAUGAGUAUGAUGUGAUCCUGUUUUCUGUUGGCAAAAACAUUUAAAACUACGUGUUGCGGUAGCGUGACAAAAACACACGACGGUGCAUUCAAAUGACAUCUGUGACUGUUUUCCUUCCUUUGACGAACCUCCAUAAACACUGUCUAAAAGUGCUCACAUUUACUAGAAUUUUAAAUUGCGCUGAGAAAUGCAUUUAGUCUCAUUUUGCAAAUUAAAUGCAUCAAAAAGUG